rnacentral:rRNA from 1 species
CGCGUAGGCGGUUAGGUCAGUCGGAUGUGAAAGCCCCGGGCUCAACCUGGGAAUUGCAUUCGAUACUGCCUGGCUAGAGUCUGGUAGAGGGAAGUGGAAUUCCGGGUGUAGCGGUGAAAUGCGUAGAUAUCCGGAGGAACACCAGUGGCGAAGGCGGCUUCCUGGACCAAGACUGACGCUGAGGUGCGAAAGCGUGGGGAGCAAACA